rnacentral:rRNA from 1 species
GACGAACGCUGGCGGCGUGCCUAAUACAUGCAAGUAGAACGCUGAAGGAGGAGCUUGCUCUUCUGGAUGAGUUGCGAACGGGUGAGUAACGCGUAGGUAACCUGCCUGGUAGUGGGGGAUAACUAUUGGAAACGAUAGCUAAUACCGCAUAAUAACAGUUGUUGCAUGACAACUGUUUGAAAGGUGCAAUUGCAUCACUACCAGAUGGACCUGCGUUGUAUUAGCUAGUUGGUGGGGUAACGGCUCACCAAGGCGACGAUACAUAGCCGACCUGAGAGGGUGAUCGGCCACACUGGGACUGAGACACGGCCCUGACUCCUACGGGAGGCAGCAGUAGGGAAUCUUCGGCAAUGGACGAAAGUCUGACCGAGCAACGCCGCGUGAGUGAAGAAGGUUUUCGGAUCGUAAAGCUCUGUUGUAAGAGAAGAACGGGUGUGAGAGUGGAAAGUUCACACUGUGACGGUAUCUUACCAGAAAGGGACGGCUAACUACGUGC